AAUUUGCUGUAACAGCCGGAGGCGAACCUAGCUGUUAGCGGUGUUGAACAACACGGCGCACUGAUGCUGUCCAUGUGCGAUGUGGUGCAUGAUUCAGUCCAGCAGGUUCAUCUGACCGAGAAAAUUGUGCUAGUGACAGUUCCUAAUGAUGUUUGGGUACUUGAUAUAGGUGCCAGCAAUCAUAUGAUAGGAACUCGAACAAUGCUAACACAACUCAAUACAAGAGUUC
rnacentral:lncRNA from 7 species